rnacentral:rRNA from 1 species
UACGACUACAUAUCAGGCAUAUCAAUAAGCGGAGGAAAAGAAACUAACAAGGAUUCCCUUAGUAACGGCGAGUGAAGCGGGAAGAGCUCAAAUUUGAAAUCUUCAAGGUUUUACCUUGACGAAUUGUAGUUUAAAGAAGUGUUUUCUGUUGAAGUUUUGGUAAAAGUUCUUUGGAAUAGGACAUCAUAGAGGGUGAGAAUCCCGUAUUUGACCAUUAUUUUCAGCUGUGUGAUACACUUUCAAAGAGUCGGAUUGUUUGGGAAUGCAGUCCAAAAUGGGUGGUAAAUUUCAUCUAAAGCUAAAUAUUGGCGAGAGACCGAUAGCGAACAAGUACCGUGAGGGAAAGAUGAAAAGAACUUUGAAAAGAGAGUUAAACAGUACGUGAAAUUGUCAAAAGGGAAGCGUUUGACACCAGUGUUGUUUUCUCGAAAAUCAAUUAAAAAAAGUUGGAUUUUGUGUUGUAUUGACCUUAACAGCUUGCUUCACUCUUUUCCAGCUUUUUUUAAUGCACUUUUCGUUUAACAAGUCAACAUCAGUUUCUUUUGUUGUAAAAGGGUCAUUGGAAGGUGGCUUUCUCUUCGGAGAAAGUGUUUAUAGCCUUUGAUCUCUGCAAUCGGAGAGACUGAGGUCUGCAGCGUAGAUCCCUUCGGGGUUAGAUACAUUUGUGCUAAGCUACAGCUUUUCAUAGACAACUUGUUGACUAUGUUUAGUCUUGUGACUUACCCGCUUAUGCUAUUUUACCUACGCUUAGGAUGUUGAGCGCAUGUCUCUCUCU